rnacentral:rRNA from 1 species
UGAGGAAUAUUGGACAAUGGGCGCAAGCCUGAUCCAGCCAUGCCGCGUGCAGGAUGACGGUCCUAUGGAUUGUAAACUGCUUUUGUACAGGAAGAAACAGUUCUACGUGUAGAACCUUGACGGUACUGUAAGAAUAAGGAUCGGCUAACUCCGUGCCAGCAGCCGCGGUAAUACGGAGGAUCCAAGCGUUAUCCGGAACUCAUUGGGUUUAAAGGGUCCGUAGGCGGUUAGAUAAGUCAGUGGUGAAAGCCCAUCGCUCAACGGUGGAACGGCCAUUGAUACUGUCUGACUUGAAUUAUUAGGAAGUAACUAGAAUAUGUAGUGUAGCGGUGAAAUGCUUAGAGAUUACAUGGAAUACCAAUUGCGAAGGCAGGUUACUACUAAUGGAUUGACGCUGAUGGACGAAAGCGUGGGUAGCGAACAGGAUUAGAUACCCUAGUAGUCCCUGAGCGGGCUGGCAAGGCGCAU